rnacentral:piRNA from 1 species
UAGAAAUGUCCCAGUGUGGUAUCUGGAGC